rnacentral:rRNA from 1 species
CCUACGGGUGGCAGCAGUGAGGAAUAUUGGUCAAUGGGCGGAAGCCUGAACCAGCCAAGUAGCGUGCAGGAUGACGGCCCUACGGGUUGUAAACUGCUUUUAUACGGGAAUAACGCGCCUUACGUGUAGGGCUUUGCAUGUACCGUAUGAAUAAGGACCGGCUAAUUCCGUGCCAGCAGCCGCGGUAAUCCGGAAGGUCUGGGCGUUAUCCGGAUUUAUUGGGUUUAAAGGGAGCGUGGGCGGCAUAUCAAGCGUGCUGUGAAAUGUCCGGGCUCAACCCGGGCCUUGCAGCGGGAAUUGGCGUGCUAGAGUCCGCGAAAGGCAGGCGGAAUUCGUGGUGUAGGGGUGAAAUGCGUAGAGAUGAAGAGGAACCCCGAUUGCGAAGGCGGCUUGCUGGAGCAGAACUGACGCUGAUGCUCGAAAGCGCGGGUAGCGAACAGGAUUAGAUACCCCAGUAGUC